rnacentral:lncRNA from 1 species
GACUUGGGGGGGCUAAGGAAUGGGCCAAUAUAGGGGUUUGCGGGCAGCUUGUGGGCCUCUGAUAAUCCACUCUCCACCCAAUUUCUUACACCAAUCCAGGCAACCUCUCAGGAGGUGAGAGAAAGCUUUGCUAAAACAGAAAGGUUGAUUUUGGGACCACGCAGGCCAGUGUAAAACAACCCAACCCCAAAGGAGCUCUGCAUGAGUCACUGCCCUGAGAGGGCCUCCUCAGGAAAUCUCAGACCAGGGCCUCAUACAGGGGUGCAACAAGGCAGCCUCCCCUGCAAGUAGCUUUUUUGGGAGAGGUGGGGGGCGUGCUGUUGGAUACUUGCCGCUGCAAAUAUCAGCAACCUGCCCACCAUUUAGGAGUGGAAACCUUUAAUCAUACAAUGCAGAUUAAAUGGGUCAGUGUCGGUAUUUUGCAGAUACGCUGCUGUUUAAAGCCACAGGAGCACUGGUGGAAAUGCAGCCGUCCUCACCCUAAAAAAACAGCCUGUCCAGACCCUCUCUCCCCUUCGGGCUUUGAAAGAGCAUGUCAUUAUAUUCCCCCACCCCCGGAAACAGCAACCCCAAAACCGCUCUCCCUGUUCUCUUCUCCUGGAAACUUUAUCGCCACCCGUCGUAUCGGCGUUUGGGGUGGAUGGAUCAGAGCGGAAACUUAUAUUUUUUCAUAUCAAAGGGAAAUGUGCCUCUCCUCCACCCCACCCCCCCAAGUAUCUUGGUAUUGCCAUUCAGGGAUCCAGAAAUGCUUCGAGGAUGGAGGAAACCUCAAAGAGGAAGGAGGGGGUCAAAAUAACCCAACAACUGGACGAGCAAACUUUUUGUUUUGAGCCUAAGAUGGCAUGUGAGGCUCCGGGGACCCCAGAUGAAGUGAUUAAGACAGAGAAACAAAAACUUGAAGGCUUUUCUGGUUGUGUUAGGAGAGGGCCUCUCUGGAGGAAAAGCCACAUGCAAACCUGAAAUUAAACCCGAACUCUUUUGGCCACCGUUUCCUGCCAGCUUCCCUUUGGGCAACACAGUCUGGCUGAUGUAGGCGAGCAGGACACCAAAAACCACCCGGGGGGGAAAUGGAAACACCUGGACUUUGAGUAUCCGGCCAGCCAGAACUGGAGGGCAAUGAAAAUGCGAUACUCCUUCCCAUUGUCAUUCAGCAUAUCCCUCACAAGAUGAGCAGAGACAGACUGGAUGCAGCCUGUGCCCCAUAAAGAGGCCGGCUGCAAGAUCUCUGAGUCGCCCACCUCUCCAAAUCAGCCGCGAGGUUGCCGCCCAAACUUCCCAGCAUUCCUGAAGCCACCUGCAUCCAUUUUGGCCAAGAGACCUUUUGGAUUAACCACAUUUUCUGCCAGCUGUUUCACAGCUAAUCUUUCCGCUCAUCCCCCUCCCGCCAGGCGAAUCCGUUCUUUGGUUUUUCGGAGAGGGCGAGAGAAAGGCAAAUAAAAAAUCUCAAGAGAAACCAGACCUUAGCCUUCGUAUCUCCAUAUCCGAACACGUCAGGAGGGCCAACUACUCUCUCGCAAGCAGUUUUAUACACCCGGUUGUCCUGCAGGGCCGUAACACAGAGCUGCUGUCCAGAACUUGUUUACGUUUGGGUGGCGAUCCGGGGACACGGAAUGGACUCAGCGCUCACCGGAGAGGGCAAGUCAAAGGAUUCUCACCAAAGCUGGAUCUUCAAACACAGGGUGUCCCUUCCUAAGUUAAGCUCCUUGCUUACCAGAAAUUCCCCAUUUUCGGUACUGACUGAAUGACCCAUUCCUUAUCUUUCUGCUCUGUCAGACCCCAGACCCAAAAUACUUCUCUUCCCUUUCUGCUUAAACACACCCCAUGCUCACUCUCCCCUCUUGAGUAGUUUGGUGUGUGUAAAGUUAACCCAACAAGCCCAGAGACCAAAACCUACUUCUUCCGCUUGCCCCUACUGCAAAACAGAAGGUCUUUGUCCUUCCUUGUAUUUAUUUUUACCUAUGUCUCCCCUAAGGAUGGAGGGCUGGGGAUAUCAAACCAUAAUCUCUCUCUCUCCCUCCGUGCUCAGAAACCUCUCAUGCUCACAAGCGCUCUGAAAUCAAGGUUAUAUACCAUGAGGAGGGAAAGAGAAGAAAAAAGAAAUAUAUGUUUACAAGUCUCUUUUGCUGAUCCAGUAAUUGUAAAUAAUUCCAUUGCGAUUAGCUGCAAUUAAAUUUUAAAAAAGGGUUUCCUAUCCAUCACCAUGUUAACUUUUCUGAUUUUAGAGGAUUUUUUAAUCUUUCUCUUUCUUUCUUUCUUUCUUUCUUUCUCUUUCUCUCUCUGUCCCUCUCUCUUUUUCUUUUCUUUUUCCCUUCUAGGGUGGGAGGUGGGUUUACUACUUGGACAUUUUAUUUAGAAGGAGAAAAGGGAAAAAAUGAGAAAAAAAAUAAAGAAGGGGGGGACCCCCAAAAUCAGAAGAACUUUUAGUGAUGAGGAAUUUUAAGAAAAAACGAAGAGUUGGAUUAUAUGUUUCAGACAAUAUCAAUGCUUAAGUUAUUGAUUAUUUAUUGCCACUUUUAAUAAUUUAAUUUUUUCUGUC